rnacentral:rRNA from 1 species
AACGAACGCUGGCGGCAUGCCUAACACAUGCAAGUCGAACGAGACCUUCGGGUCUAGUGGCGCACGGGUGCGUAACGCGUGGGAACCUGCCCUUAGGUUCGGAAUAACUCCCCGAAAGGGGUGCUAAUACCGGAUAAUGUCUUCGGACCAAAGAUUUAUCGCCUUUGGAUGGGCCCGCGUUGGAUUAGCUAGCUGGUAGGGUAAAAGCCUACCAAGGCGACGAUCCAUAGCUGGUCUGAGAGGAUGAUCAGCCACACUGGGACUGAGACACGGCCCAGACUCCUACGGGAGGCAGCAGUGGGGAAUAUUGGACGAUGGGCGAAAGCCUGAUCCAGCAAUGCCGCGUGAGUGAUGAAGGCCUUAGGGUUGUAAAGCUCUUUUACCCGGGAUGAUAAUGACAGUACCGGGAGAAUAAGCUCCGGCUAACUCCGUG